AGAGAGAGAAAGAGAGAGAGAGAGAGAGAAAUAGAGAGAGAGAUUUGAGGGCAAGAAGGCCGUUGUUAUUCUUCUCUAUAAUAUCUGCUU